GAUGAACGCUGGCGGCGUGCUUAACACAUGCAAGUCGAACGAAGCACUUCAUAAAGCUUGCUUUAAGAAGUGACUUAGUGGCGGACGGGUGAGUAACGCGUGGGUAACCUGCCUUACACAGGGGGAUAACAGUUAGAAAUGACUGCUAAUACCGCAUAAAACAGCAGAGUCGCAUGACUCAACUGUCAAAGAUUUAUCGGUGUAAGAUGGACCCGCGUCUGAUUAGCUUGUUGGUGGGGUAACGGCCUACCAAGGCGACGAUCAGUAGCCGGCCUGAGAGGGUGAACGGCCACAUUGGGACUGAGACACGGCCCAAACUCCUACGGGAGGCAGCAGUGGGGAAUAUUGGACAAUGGGCGAAAGCCUGAUCCAGCGACGCCGCGUGAGCGAUGAAGUAUUUCGGUAUGUAAAGCUCUAUCAGCAGGGAAGAAAACGACGGUACCUGACUAAGAAGACCCCGGCUAACUACGUG
rnacentral:rRNA from 1 species